rnacentral:lncRNA from 1 species
GACAACCACUGGCAUGGCCAUCUUCCAUUAACACUUACAAAAUGGCCAUCUUCAAGAGCCUAGUUUCUACUCUACUGUUGAUAGCCAUUUCCUCGAUCUUUACCUUUGCUCAGCCAUUUCGAUCAAGGGCAUCAAGGCUAGCUGCUGCACAAAAUUGAGCAUUUCCCUUGGCUGGAAACUAUCUUGUGCUUCUUUGAUCUGCCUCCUGGAGUAAACCCCAUCAGAUUCAUAACAUCCAACAUCCACAUUACAGUAGUCCUCAGCAAUUGUUGCCCAGAAAUUGUACUUGUUCCAACACCGAUAGGCUAACCCCAAACUGCAUCUCCUAGAUAUCUCACCCACAGCUUCUUCCACUGCCUUUAAAAAUGGUCUUGAAGUAAUUUUACUGGAUCUCUUUUAAGCGAGGUUGUGGUGACAGUGGAUUUCCUGUUUGGGGUUGGG